UACGGGGGGGGCAAGCGUUGUUCGGAAUUACUGGGCGUAAAGGGUUUGUAGGUGGCCAACUAAGUCAGACGUGAAAUCCCUCAGCUUAACUGGGGAACUGCGUCUGAGACUGGAUGGCUUGAGUGCAGGAGAGGAACGCGGAAUUCCAGGUGUAGCGGUGAAAUGCGUAGAUAUCUGGAGGAAUACCGGUGGCGAAGGCGGCAUCCUGGACCGGCAUUGACGCUGAGGAGCGAAAGCCAGGGGAGCAAACGGG
rnacentral:rRNA from 1 species